rnacentral:rRNA from 1 species
CCUACGGGAGACAGCAGUGAGGAAUAUUGGUCAAUGGACGAGAGUCUGAACCAGCCAAGUAGCGUGAAGGAUGACUGCCCUAUGGGUUGUAAACUUCGUUUAUAGGGGAAUAAAAUGUUCCACGUGUGGGAUUUUGUAUGUACCAUAUGAAUAAGGAUCGGCUAACGCCGUGCCAGCAGCCGCGGUAAUACGGAGGAUCCGAGCGUUAUCCGGAUUUAUUGGGUUUAAAGGGAGCGUAGGUGGAUUGUUAAGUCAGUUUUGAAAGUUUGCGGCUCAACCGUAAAAUUGCAGUUGAAACGGGCAGUCUUGAGUACAGUAGAGGUCGGCGGACUUCGUGGUGUAGCCGUGA